rnacentral:rRNA from 1 species
CUCCCAGACUCCUACGGGAGGCAGCAGUGGGGAAUAUUGGACAAUGGGGGGAACCCUGAUCCAGCGACGCCGCGUGAGUGAAGAAGUAUUUCGGUAUGUAAAUCUCUAUCAGCAGGGAAGAAAGAAAUGACGGUACCUGACUAAGAAGCCCCGGCUAACUACGUGCCAGCAGCCGCGGUAAUACGUAGGGGGCAAGCGUUAUCCGGAUUUACUGGGUGUAAAGGGAGCGUAGACGGCAUGGCAAGUCUGAUGUGAAAACCCGGGGCUCAACCCCGGGACUGCAUUGGAAACUGUCAGGCUAGAGUGUCGGAGAGGCAAGUGGAAUUCCUAGUGUAGCGGUGAAAUGCGUAGAUAUUAGGAGGAACACCAGUGGCGAAGGCGGCUUGCUGGACGAUGACUGACGUUGAGGCUCGAAAGCGUGGGGAGCAAACAGGAUUAGAUACCCGCGUAGCU